rnacentral:rRNA from 1 species
AACUGGAGGACCGAACCGACUAAUGUUGAAAAAUUAGCGGAUGACUUGUGGCUAGGGGUGAAAGGCCAAUCAAACCUGGAGAUAGCUGGUUCUCCCCGAAAGCUAUUUAGGUAGCGCCUCGGACGAAUACUACUGGGGGUAGAGCACUGUUAAGGCUAGGGGGUCAUCCCGACUUACCAACCCUUUGCAAACUCCGAAUA